rnacentral:rRNA from 1 species
GAUAUAUUAAUACAAUAAAUAUCCGCCUGGGGACUACGAGCGCCAGCUUAAAACCCAAAGGACUUGGCGGUGCUUCAGACCCCCCUAGAGGAGCCUGUUCUAGAACCGAUAACCCCCGUUCAACCUCACCACUCCUUGCCCCUCCCGCCUAUAUACCACCGUCGCCAGCUUACCCUGUGAAGGUAAUACAGUAAGCAGAAUGAGCACUCCUCAGAACGUCAGGUCGAGGUGUAGCGUACGAAGUGGGAAGAAAUGGGCUACAUUAUCUGAAACAGAUUAUUCACGGAAGGCCCCCUGAAACCGGAGGCCCGAAGGUGGAUUUAGCAGUAAAGAGGGAAUAGAGAGCCCUCUUGAAGCCGGCUCUGAAGCGCGCACACACCGCCCGUCACUCUCCCCAAUAACUACUUAAAUACAAGUAAAUAACACAAUAGCUGAUACAAGGGGAGGCAAGUCGUAACAUGGUAAGUGUACCGGAAGGUGCACUUGGAAUAAU